rnacentral:rRNA from 1 species
GACAGAAGGUGCAAGCGUUACUCGGAAUUACUGGGCGUAAAGCGUCUGUAGGUUUUUCAACCACGUCUGACGUGGAAAUCGCCGGGGCUCAACCCCGCGCCCACGUUGGAUACGAGUUGGAUCGAGUCAUUCAGAGGCAUCUGGAAUGUCGUGGUAGUAGGGGUAAAAUCCGUAGAUACACGAUGGAGCGCCAAAAGUGAAGACAGGAUGCUAGGAAUGCACUGACACUCAGAGACGAAAGCGUGGGGAGCAAAGGGG